rnacentral:rRNA from 1 species
UACGUAGGCAGCAAGCGUUGUUCGGAAUUACUGGGCGUAAAGCGUGCGCAGGCGGUUCGUUGUGUCGGCGGUGAAAGCCCCGGGCUCAACCUGGGAAUGGCCGUUGAAACUGGCGAACUGGAGUGUGGCAGAGGGGGGUGGAAUUCCGCGUGUAGCAGUGAAAUGCGUAGAGAUGCGGAGGAACACCGAUGGCGAAGGCAGCCCCCUGGGCUGACACUGACGCUCAGGCACGAAAGCGUGGGGAGCAAACAGG